UUUAGGAGAGUAAAUUUACACAUAAUAUCUCAUUCCAGAUUGACAUCAUUGAGAAAUACAUCUUUCUCUUUGAAGUUGAUUGAUUAGGAAAUAUUAUAACAGAUGCCUGCUGUCUGCAGCAUACUCCGCUAGAGACUGUAAAUAAAGGAAACCAGCGGCGCUUAGCUGGCUCAGUUGGUGGCUCUUGACCUCAGUGUCAUAAGUUUGAGCCUCACAUUGGGUAUAGAGAUUAAAUAUAAAAUCUUUUUAAAAAAAUUAAAUAAAGGAAACGAGUUUUCUUCUACAAGAUGGCCUUUCUUCCUGAAAGGUUGACACAGAGAUGGAGUAAGGGACCAAAGAAAUCAGACUUCACAGGUUGGAAGGACUGCAGAGUUCUGCUAGGUCAGUCCCACAAUGAAGGGGACCACUCACUGGGGAUGCCAGCCACCGUAUCAUGAGGUCAAGCAGCAUGAAGGGGUCUAUACGGUGAGGGAGUGCCAGCUGUGUAAGUCACCCUAGAAGUGUGUCCUCCAGGCCCAAGUGUGCCCUUCAGAUGACUACAGCUGUCACACCGUGACUACCACCUCUGAGCCACUGUGGCCAGAAUGACCUAGAAGUGCCACUCCUGAAUUCUGGACCCAUAGAAAUCACGUGAGAUGUUUAUUAUUGUUUUCAGCCACUGAAUUUAAGAGUACUUCAAUUUACAGCAACAGUUCAUACUGUCUUAAAGGGCAGAAGUUGCCUGCUGGCAUGGCCUUCUCGUGGAGCCUUCCACAGUCCAGGCUCCCCACGAGUGAGAUGCUGCAGUAGCCCCAAGCUGUCUGCCAGGGCACUGCUGGGCAUUAGAAGACAAUGCUUUCCCUCCAGGCUGGAGUACCUGAGUAUUACAGGCUGACUUGUUAUUUUUCAACGUAGGAGGUGUCGCACUGGUCAGGUCAGAAGUCGUGAGACUCAGCACAGCCCCCUCCGUACUCUGGAGGUGCCCUGUCGUCAGAGGCCUCUUCUUCCAUGAUACGUCACAGACACGACACGGGGAGGAGACUGAUGGAAGCACGGGCUGAAUCCCGGAUCUGUCGCCGUCCCACUGACCCACCCCUCUGACCUCAGUUUUCCAUCAUCAAACACCUAAUACAUAACAGCAGCACCUAUGGCAUCCGCUGCUGUGAGGACUAAGCCAGAUGCUAUGUUUCAAAUGCUGGGAACCGUGCCUCGUACGGUUGGCUGUUACUAUUGAACAUUGGCUGUUACUAUUACCCUUCAAGCUACGGAGACACAUAUAUAUAUGUACCAAUAUGGGAAAUUAGAUCUGAAGCUAAUUGGCAGAGUUAUUAAAGACAAACAACCGAUGUUUUAAAAUCUGAAUUAGACAGUCUGUAUUCUAACACACACACACACACACAGACACACACACACAAUCUGUACCAAUUAAAUACAAUAAAGUUGAAAGGGGAUAUAAAUUACAGUUCUUUUUCUUUUUAAACAGACAAUAGUAGAAUACUACAGUCGGCUCACUAUACACAAAAGUCAUCAACAGCAGCUUUUCAUUAAAGUCUCCAAAAUCUUACUCAUUGACUGAUGCUAAGAACUGAAAAGAAAAACUUAGAGAAUGUACACAUUCUCUCUCUCCCACAACACAUUUAUUGCUGUACAUCCACACCGAUUUUACAGGCAUCUACAGAACGAGCGCAAAAAGUACUUCUGUAAAAAUUUCCACAUGCGUAAUCCUUCGACGUCUCCGUUACCAGGAGAACCCUGCCAAUGAAGACGUGGACAGCAGGAUCACCUGCAUUCCAUCAUCUGCUGCGAGCACGGUGAAGCGGGCACCUGUGAACUUAAUAGCUCAUCCCAUGCCUUCAGUGUUUCCCAGAAUUUAAGUAAAAUUAACAACAGCAAAACCACACGACGAAAGCUACCGAUCCAAAACGAAAAACCACAAAAAGACAAAAAUCAACAUCCCCUCCCCUCCCCAAACCCAACUCCGGGCAUGUCCUUGUGUUCUCUUAACAGUAAUACUGCUCUCUGAAUUCCCCCUGCCGGCCAGGCCGAACCACAACCUGGGGUAAUGAAGGCUGGAGUCGGAGCCCCAGGCAUUGUCAACAGUUACCCUACAACGUCGCACCAGCAGGCGGUGGCCGGGUGGAAGACUAAGGAAUAUAGCUGUGAGAUUUUUCAGUGUGCUUUAUGAAACAGGACACAGAACAGCUACAUGUGGCCUGGUAGCCAAGAGGAGUGUGGCACCAAACUCACAGUCAGACAUAUAUGUACACACAAAACGAGGGGACAGCAAAAACGUUCAGUCUUAUGUAAGUUCUUUGGUUGUAAAGAACGGCAUUCUGUAACCUUUUCUGCAAAGAGGGAUUCGCAACCUCAUUCUUAGGCAAUCAGGUCUUUUUCAUCUGCUCAUGUAUAAGAGAUUACCUAAGUGGUUUUGUAACCAAAUCCAGUACCUUAUGAUUUUCUAGAAACCACUCAUAUCUGCAUUUUCGUGUGCAGUCUUGUCUGUCUCCAAACAGACAUACUAUAGAUAUACAUUUCAUAUACAUCAUAUAUAUUAUUUAUAAAAAAAAAAAAGAGCAUGGACUCCAGAUUCUA